GGCGAACGGGUGAGUCAACGUGAGUCACCUGCCCUUGACUCUGGGAUAAGCGCUGGAAACGGCGUCUAAUACCGGAUACGAGCUUCAGCCGCACGGCUAGGAGUUGGAAAGAAUUUCGGUCAAGGAUGGACUCGCGGCCUAUCAGCUAGUUGGUGAGGUAAUGGCUCACCAAGGCGACGACGGGUAGCCGGCCUGAGAGGGUGACCGGCCACACUGGGACUGAGACACGGCCCAGACUCCUACGGGAGGCAGCAGUGGGGAAUAUUGCACAAUGGGCGCAAGCCUGAUGCAGCAACGCCGCGUGAGGGAUGACGGCCUUCGGGUUGUAAACCUCUUUUAGUAGGGAAGAAGCGAAAGUGACGGUACCUGCAGAAAAAGCACCGGCUAACUACGUGCCAGCAGCCGCGGUAAUACGUAGGGUGCAAGCGUUGUCCGGAAUUAUUGGGCGUAAAGAGCUCGUAGGCGGUUUGUCGCGUCUGCUGUGAAAUCUGGGGGCUCAACCCCCAGCCUGCAGUGGGUACGGGCAGACUAGAGUGCGGUAGGGGAGAUUGGAAUUCCUGGUGUAGCGGUGGAAUGCGCAGAUAUCAGGAGGAACACCGAUGGCGAAGGCAGAUCUCUGGGCCGUAACUGACGCUGAGGAGCGAAAGCAUGGGGAGCGAACAGGAUUAGAUACCCUGGUAGUCCAUGCCGUAAACGUUGGGAACUAGAUGUGGGGGCCAUUCCACGGUCUCCGUGUCGCAGCUAACGCAUUAAGUUCCCCGCCUGGGGAGUACGGCCGCAAGGCUAAAACUCAAAGGAAUUGACGGGGGCCCGCACAAGCGGCGGAGCAUGCGGAUUAAUUCGAUGCAACGCGAAGAACCUUACCAAGGCUUGACAUAUACCGGAAACGUCCAGAGAUGGUCGCCCCGCAAGGUCGGUAUACAGGUGGUGCAUGGUUGUCGUCAGCUCGUGUCGUGAGAUGUUGGGUUAAGUCCCGCAACGAGCGCAACCCUCGUUCUAUGUUGCCAGCACGUAAUGGUGGGAACUCAUAGGAGACUGCCGGGGUCAACUCGGAGGAAGGUGGGGAUGACGUCAAAUCAUCAUGCCCCUUAUGUCUUGGGCUUCACGCAUGCUACAAUGGCCGGUACAAAGGGCUGCGAUACCGUAAGGUGGAGCGAAUCCCAAAAAGCCGGUCUCAGUUCGGAUUGAGGUCUGCAACUCGACCUCAUGA
rnacentral:rRNA from 1 species